rnacentral:lncRNA from 1 species
GAAUGUGGAAACUUCUCCAAAGUAUAUUAUGUAAUUCUUAUAUAUGUUAAAUAAUGUGUCAGUCACAUCCUACCAUUCUCUUUUCAUUCCAUUUCUAAAUAUCUAUAAGGCAAAUUCAAAACAGCUCAGAUAUAAUAUUUUGUAAAAUGUUUGUUAUUGGAACUAUGGGUAAAUUUCCAUGACAACUGUUUCUUCUUUUCUGUGUUUAUAUUGUGCAGUUUGACAAGAUGGGGGAUGAGUCAUAGCCAGAAAGGGAAAAUGACCUAUCCUCUCUCCUAUUAGAUCCUGGGCAUGAACGGAAACAGAAAUACUAUCAAUUUGGUGGAGAGAGACUCAAGAUGGCGCUGUGAGAACAACCCAGGAUUGGAGCCCAUGUUGAAUUCGCAAACGGUGAGUCAGUGCAGCAUUUCCAGACUGAUCUUUGUUGCCCACAGAACGGGGAAACUCCCAAGUAUAAAAAGACACGGGACCCCAGGCAGUAGGUCUGCCUGGCGAAGCCGGCAGCCGGGGCGGCGGCGGCCGGCCCUACCCAGCAAUCCCCACAGGGCACGCUUGUCCGGGUGCCUUGUUGAACCGGCAACCUGAGACUUGAGAGGGCUGGACUUGAGACUGAACGAGACUUGCACAGUAGCCCAGCCCAGGGGAUUGCAGGGACAGAUCGCUUGGGAUACCCAGUGGGACGAACAAAACCGCGAUUUCAAACUAUCCCGGGCAGAGGGUCCGAGACGCUCUGUGGGGGAGGGGCGUCCACCACUAUGGAGGCAACCUGCCCCAACUGAUAUA